rfam:Ictidomys tridecemlineatus contig074728, whole genome shotgun sequence.
GGGGUUGUGGCUCAGUGGUAGAGUGCUUGCCUUGUACGUGUGAGGCACUGAGUUCAAUCCUUAGCAGCACAU